GACGAACGCUGGCGGCGUGCCUAAUACAUGCAAGUAGAACGCACAGUUUAUACCGUAGCUUGCUACACCAUAGACUGUGAGUUGCGAACGGGUGAGUAACGCGUAGGUAACCUGCCUGGUAGCGGGGGAUAACUAUUGGAAACGAUAGCUAAUACCGCAUAAUAUUAAUUAUUGCAUGAUAAUUAAUUGAAAGGUGCAAUUGCACCACUACCAGAUGGACCUGCGUUGUAUUAGCUAGUAGGUGAGGUAACGGCUCACCUAGGCAACGAUACAUAGCCGACCUGAGAGGGUGAUCGGCCACACUGGGACUGAGACACGGCCCAGACUCCUACGGGAGGCAGCAGUAGGGAAUCUUCGGCAAUGGACGAAAGUCUGACCGAGCAACGCCGCGUGAGUGAAGAAGGUUUUCGGAUCGUAAAGCUCUGUUGUAAGAGAAGAACGGGUGUGAGAGUGGAAAGUUCACACUGUGACGGUAUCUUACCAGAAAGGGACGGCUAACUACGU
rnacentral:rRNA from 1 species